rnacentral:rRNA from 1 species
CCUACGGGGGAGCAGCAGUGGGGAAUAUUGGACAAUGGGCGAAAGCCUGAUCCAGCCAUGCCGCGUGUGUGAAGAAGGCCUUCGGGUUGUAAAGCACUUUCAGUGGGGAAGAAAGCCUUGGGGCUAAUACCCUCGAGGAAGGACAUCACCCACAGAAGAAGCACCGGCUAACUCCGUGCCAGUAGCCGCGGUAAUACGGAGGGUGCGAGCGUUAAUCGGAAUUACUGGGCGUAAAGCGCGCGUAGGCGGUCUGAUAAGCCGGUUGUGAAAGCCCCGGGCUCAACCUGGGAACGGCAUCCGGAACUGUCAGGCUAGAGUGCAGGAGAGGAAGGUAGAAUUCCCGGUGUAGCGGUGAAAUGCGUAGAGAUCGGGAGGAAUACCAGUGGCGAAGGCGGCCUUCUGGACUGACACUGACGCUGAGGUGCGAAAGCGUGGGUAGCAAACAGGAUUAGAUACCCUAGUAGUC